AAGCUCUGUGAGGGUAUACUUAGCAUCAGGCUUAGCAGACGAAGCUGCACAAUACAUAUUUUACUGAAGCUUAAAUGUUAAAAGUCCUUUUGAAAUAUAAUUGUUCAUCUAAUCCUAUGAGUUACCUUGUGAGGGAGGGAUUCUUAUUGUACCUUGUGGCAGAGACAGUGUUGCUUACCAAAGAUUCCAUUUGUUUUCUUGUAUUUCUUGGCUCUUUUGGAGUUAGGCAGAGUCAGGUGACAGUUCUGGCUAGUAAAACAUGAGUGGGAGUCACGCAUGUCACUUCUGAGGUAGUUAAAAGCCUGCGUUAAUUUAGUUCUUCCUUUGCCAUAUGAAUACAGAUGCCCAUGUUCCAGAUGGUUCAGCCACAAGACGGUAGAGACUCCGAACUCCUCACAGGCUUACCUUGGAUAUUAUGAACAAGAAACAAAUUUUUGUGGUGUAAAGCCAUUAACUUUUGAGCUUUGUUAUGCAGCAAAGUUUAGCGGAUCUUGACUAAUAUAUUCCUAUUUUUUUUCAGGCAAGAAAACUGAGCCUCAGAGAGGGGCGGUGACAUGCUCAAAGUCACUGGAACUAUGGUCAGAGCUGAGAUUUCAUCCCUGGUGGUCUUAUGGGGCCAUGUGGACAAAGACUCACAUUAUGAAUUGCCUCCCCGGAGAAACCAACCCCUCCUCCCCCAAAAAAGGCCUCGAUCCAAUAAACCAACUUUUAACGGAGCAGCAUCUUUCAAUCGAAGGACGAUGGCAACUUAUCUCUGGAUCCUAGCUUGGUGGUGACACGAAUUCUCUGAGCUGCCCAAUCUCACUCAAGAAGCACCUGUCCCUGUUGCAAGUCAGCCCCUAAAAUGGUCCGAAUGGAUUUGAACUUUUGCCAACCCAACAGUCUGUGGAAUUGGACCAAGGAGAUACGGACUCAGUGAAACAUGGAGCCUUGCAAAGUACACAGGAAAAAUAAACGAAUGCAUGAAAUGGCA
rnacentral:lncRNA from 12 species